rnacentral:rRNA from 2 species
UACGGGUGAAAGCGGAGGACCUUCGGGCUUCGCGCGAUUGAAUGAGCCGAUGUCGGAUUAGCUAGUUGGCGGGGUAAAGGCCCACCAAGGCGACGAUCCGUAGCUGGUCUGAGAGGAUGAUCAGCCACACUGGAACUGAGACACGGUCCAGACUCCUACGGGAGGCAGCAGUGGGGAAUUAUUGGACAAUGGGCGCAAGCCUGAUCCAGCCAUGCCGCGUGGGUGAAGAAGGCCUUCGGGUUGUAAAGCCCUUUUGUUGGGAAAGAAAAGCAGUCGGUUAAUACCCGAUUGUUCUGACGGUA